ACCAACAUGGCAUAGUGGUGUGAGCGUUGGACUAGGAUGCUAAAGACCAGGGUUUGAAUCCCCGUUUAGCCA